GCUAAACGCGAAGAACCUUACCGGGGCUUGACAUCUUUCUGACCGCCUGGGAAACCAGGUCUUCUUCCUUCGGGAAGACGGAAAGACAGGUGGUGCAUGGUUGUCGUCAGCUCGUGUCGUGAGAUGUUGGGUUAAGUCCCACAACGAGCGCAACCCUUGUCCUUAUUUGCCAGCCUGUUUACAGGCGUACUUUAAGGAGACUGCCGUAGAUAAUACGGAGGAAGGUGGGGAUGACGUCAAAUCCUCAUGCCCCUUACGUCCCGGGCUACACACGUGCUACAAUGGUCUGUACAGAGGGUAGCCAAGAAGCAAUUCGGAGCCAAUCCCAAAAAGCAGGCCCCAGUUCGGAUUGGAGGCUGCAACUCGCCUCCAUGAAGUUGGAAUCGCUAGUAAUGGCGCAUCAUCCACGGCGCCGUGAAUACGUUCCCGGGUCUUGUACACACCG
rnacentral:rRNA from 1 species